rnacentral:tRNA from 1 species
GAGAGGAUAGCUCAGUGGUAGAGCGUGUGCUUAGCAUGCAGGCGGUCCUGGGUCCAAUCCCCAGUCCCUCCA